rnacentral:rRNA from 1 species
UACGGAGGGUGCAAGCGUUAUCCGGAUUUACUGGGUUUAAAGGGUGCGUAGGUGGGUAGGAAAGUCAGUGGUGAAAUCUUCGGGCUUAACCCGGAAACUGCCAUUGAUACUAUUUAUCUUGAAUACUUUGGAGGUAAGCGGAAUAUGUCAUGUAGCGGUGAAAUGCUUAGAUAUGACAUAGAACACCAAUUGCGAAGGCAGCUUACUACACAGUUAUUGACACUGAGGCACGAAAGCGUGGGGGAUCAAACAGGAAUUAGAAAACCCUAGGUAG